GGACGCUUAGCAAAGUGGUUAAUGCAUCCGGCUCAUAACCGGAAGAUUCCUGGGUUCGAUGCCCAGAGCGUCCA
rnacentral:tRNA from 2 species